GCUCAUAUAGCUCAGUGGUAGAGCACUGGUCUCCAAAACCAGGUGUCGUAGGUUCAAGUCCUACUGUGAGUGCA
rnacentral:tRNA from 1 species